rnacentral:rRNA from 1 species
UACGUAGGUGGCGAGCGUUGUCCGGAUUUACUGGGCGUAAAGAGCGCGCAGGCGGUCGUACAAGUCGCGUGUGAAAGCCCCCGGCUCAACUGGGGAGGGUCACGCGAUACUGUUCGACUCGAAGGCAGGAGAGGGUAGUGGAAUUCCUAGUGUAGAGGUGAAAUUCGUAGAUAUUAGGAAGAACACCAGUGGCGAAGGCGGCUCACUGGAUCGGUACUGACACUGAGGUGCGAAAGCGUGGGGAGCAAACAGG